CCUACGGGCGGCAGCAGUGGGGGAUAUUGCACAAUGGGGGGAACCCUGAUGCAGCGACGCCGCGUGGGUGAAGAAGCGCCUCGGCGCGUAAAGCCCUGUCAGCAGGGAAGAAAAUGACGGUACCUGCAGAAGAAGCCCUGGCUAACUAAGUGCCAGCAGCCGCGGGAAUACGUAGGGGGCAAGCGUUAUCCGGAUUUACUGGGUGUAAAGGGGGCACAGACGGCGAUGCAAGCCAGGAGUGAAAGCCCGGGGCCCAACCCCGGGACUGCUCGUGGAACUGCGUGGCUGGAGUGCAGGAGGGGCAGGCGGAAUUCCUGGUGUAGCGGUGAAAUGCGUAGAUAUCAGGAGGAACACCGGUGGCGAAGGCGGCCUGCUGGACUGCAACUGACGUUGAGGCCCGAAAGCGUGGGGAGCAAACAGGAUUAGAUACCCUUGUAGUC
rnacentral:rRNA from 1 species